rnacentral:rRNA from 1 species
GAUGAACGCUGGCGGCGUGCCUAAUACAUGCAAGUCGAGCGAACAGACGAGGAGCUUGCUCCUCUGACGUUAGCGGCGGACGGGUGAGUAGCACGUGGAUAACCUACCUAUAAGACUGGGAUAACUUCGGGAAACCGGAGCUAAUACCGGAUAAUAUAUUGAACCGCAUGGUUCAAUAGUGAAAGACGGUUUUGCUGUCACUUAUAGAUGGAUCCGCGCCGCAUUAGCUAGUUGGUAAGGUAACGGCUUACCAAGGCAACGAUGCGUAGCCGACCUGAGAGGGUGAUCGGCCACACUGGAACGGAGACACGGUCCAGACUCCUACGGGAGGCAGCAGUAGGGAAUCUUCCGCAAUGGGCGAAAGCCUGACGGAGCAACGCCGCGUGAGUGAUGAAGGUCUUCGGAUCGUAAAACUCUGUUAUGAGGGAAGAACAAAUGUGUAAGUAACUAUGCACGUCUUGACGGUACCUAAUCAGAAAGCCACGGCUAACUACGUG